rnacentral:lncRNA from 1 species
UCUAUACUAAAUUGUCAACUGUUCCAAAAUAAAGAUUCAAUGAUGGUGCUAAAAGGGAAAGAUAGCAAUACUAUUAAUGAAAGAAAAGAUAAAAGGUGAAUUUAAUGAUAUUGUUUAUUAUUUAAAGAAUGAGCUUUGAGUUACUUCUAUGAUUAGUAUGUAUUUUUAUAAAUGUUUUAAUGAAUAUAUGAGUUCUUUUGUUUAAUUAAGAUCUGUGCCUUCCCUCUUAUUGAAGGUAUGUUGUCAUUUUGUGCAGAUCGGUGAGUAAUUUUUCUAUUUUAAUUAUUUUUCUGUUUUUAUUAAUUUGAAAUGCUGAAUAUUUUGUGUAUUCACAGAUUAUAAAUGGCUCCCAAAAAACAUUGGUUAAUAAGAAACGAUUUACACAAAGUUUUGUUGACAAUGAAGAACCUACUUCAAGUCAAGUUCCGACUUCAACUCCUCAUGUUCCGACUUCAACUCCUCAAGUUCCGACUCGAACUCCUCAAGUUCCGACUCAACACCUCAAGUUCCGACUCCAACACCUCAAGUUCCGACUCCAACACCUCAAGUUCCGACUUCAACUCCUCUUAUUCCGACUACAACUCAAGUUCCAACACCAACUAGGACCCUAGAGAUGACUGAAAACAUUAAGUAUGAAUAUUAGAAUAUGAAUUCUCUUUCAAUUUUAGAUAUUAGAUCAUUGUAUUAAUGUUGUGUUAGGGACAAGAUGUUAUAUUUGUUGAAUGUUAGAUGAUUUUCAUCAUUAAUGUUGAAUGAAUUUAGUGAA